GAUGAACGCUGGCGGCGUGCCUAAUACAUGCAAGUCGAGCGAACAGAUAAUGAGCUUGCUCCUUUGACGUUAGCGGCGGACGGGUGAGUAACACGUGGGUAACCUACCUAUAUGACUGGUAUAACCCCGGGAAACCGGGUCUAAUGCCGGAUAACAUUUAGAACCGCAUGGUUCUAAAGUGAAAGAUGGUUUUGCUAUCACUUAUAGAUGGACCCGCGCCGUAUUAGCUAGUUGGUAAGUUAACGGCUUACCAAGGCAACGAUACGUAGCCGACCUGAGAGAGUGAUCGGCCACACUGGAACUGAGACACGGUCCAUGCGCCUACGGGAGGCAGCAGUAGGGAAUCUUACGCAGUGGGCGAAAGCCUGACGGAGCGACGCCACGUGAGUUAUGAAGGUCUUCGGAUCGUAAAGCUCUGUUAUUAGGUGAGAACAAAUGUGUAAGUAACUGUGCACGUCUUGACGGUACCUAAUCAGAAAGCCACGGCUAACUACGUG
rnacentral:rRNA from 1 species